rnacentral:pre_miRNA from 14 species
UGAGGGGAAUGUUGUCUGGCUCGAGGUCACCAACUAGAUCCAUAAACUCCAUAUUAUGCUUUUUUGAAUAUAAAGAUUAGUUUUUCUUUUCUUUUCACUAGGAAAAUUUAAAGAUUAGUUGAUUAUAUUAAAAAGGGUUUAUGGAUCAUGAGUUAGUGUUGUCGGACCAGGCUUCAUUCCCCCCAAU